AUCAUGCCCCUCACAGCCGGUGUGUUCUCUGCCCUCGUCCUUGGCAGCGGCCUGUGUGUGUGUGUGGGAGGCUCCCAUCGCCACCUCCUUCUCACGGGCAAAAGCUGAGGCACAGAGACGCCCAGGCACCUGCCCCAGGUCACAGAGCACCUUCUCUCCAGCACCGAGAGGGGCGCUCUGAGCCUGCAGGGAACAUCGUGCACGUCAGCUAGGCACUGGCUCCUUCGCACCCCGAGGCACCCCCCAAAGUCCUCAGCAAGAAAACACGUUUCCAUUUAAAAUGAAUUCUCAGUACAUUGGACAAAAUUCAGGUUAUUGCUUCUAUGAUCCAGCGUUUCUCUUUUAAUGAGUUCUCAAAUCUGGGGAGUGGUGUUAACAUGGCUGAAGGCGUGGUUAAGAAACUAAUUAACUACAGCAGCAAAGUCGCCACCCAGCGUGGGCUGCACGACCAGAUCUCCUAGGACCGCCUCUACUAGUCAGACGGGGCUGGUUCGGACGAGACGCGGAACAGCUGCUGAGAAUCCUCGCACCCAUUUGGAACUGACCCGUUUGGCAAGUCCGGCUAACGUGGAAACAGUUCCUCCCUGUUCACCUGUGUUCCAGGCCUCGUGAGACUUCCGUUUGCUCUUCGUGCCCUCUACGCUCUGUCUUGGGAAGCUUUCCCUGGUGAGAAGUGAUCUGUGGCCUCCGGAUCAUGUUGAAGGUGGCAGUCGGCUCGGCCCAGACCUCCAGGCAUCGUGAGACUGAGGGGCUCUCAAGAUUCCUGUCUGUUGUUGCUGUCUCGGUAGUUUAUGCCUUUUUACUGCUGAGAAUUCCAGGAUUCGUCCAUUCACCCGCUAGUGAACCCUCUGGGCGGCAUGGGGGUGUAUGCUGAGGAACUGCCUCCCAUGGCUGUAGAGGCUGAUGACCCCCGAGGUCUGCGGUCGACAGGCUGGGGGCCUCGGGAGCCCAUCGCGUAAACUCCAGUCCAAAGGCCAGUAGGUUUGAGACCCAAGAGAAGCCAAUGAUUCAGUCCGAGACUAAAGGCAGGAGAAACACAGUGUCCCGACGCAGAGCCGUCGGGCAGGAGAAUUCGCUCUUCCCCACGGGGGGUCAGUCUUUUCAUUCUGGUCAGGCCUUCAGCUGCUCGAAUGGGGCCCACCGUCAGGAGGCGAGGCGUGCAGCUCCAUUGCUCAUCUCAUCCUCAAACACCUUCCCAGACACACCCGCGAUCACGUUUGGCCAGAUACCUGGGCACCCCGUGCGUGGCCUGUCACGUUGACACUACAGUUAACCAUCACGAACGGUUUGCUGUUUGGGGCUGAUGUGAACAUUUGUGCACAAGCCUUCGUGGAGACACAUUUCAGUUCUGCGAGUCUGACCACUGGGUCGUGGGGUGAGCGCACAUUCAACUUCUUAAGGAGAUGGCCAUAGAGGAAAACAAUAGAGUGGGAAAGCCACCAAUGAGUAGGAGAGCUUCAGGUAAAGCUGCCUAGUUCUUGGCAAAUAAAUAAACAUGGAAGAUAAAUAUUUUUAUUGAAAAUAGAGGAAUCAUGAAAUAUA